CCUUCAGCACCUCGGUGCAGGUCAACAAAGGCAUGCAGAUCAGUUGCCACAACACAACGUGCCGGGUGUUUUGCUCACUACCUGCAGAAACUGCCUUGCUCAACAGAGACACACUCAGAGCUUCGCGUCACUUGAGCAAGACUGGAAGCCCCUGAAGGCUGGUUCUAUCCUUUUCCAUAUGCCACCCACUCCCCAGGGCUGUGCUCAGUAACCGGUCAGAGACUGACAUCCUGCAGUGGGAGUCCAGGAUGAAUGUAAUGAAAGUUCCCAAGUUGCCAGCUUCUUACUGAAUCUGCAACAAAGGAAAAGAUCUUCCUUCACAGACUAUAAAAGAUACAAUCACCAACCACCCUGAACCAGAUCAGGCCAGGAGCAGCCAGAGCAGCGCCUGUGCAGAUGAGCAGAGAGAUGACCUGAAGUCGCCCUUUACUUCAUUUUAGUCCUAAGAUCUCUGCUUCAGGAGGAGCUUAGUUCUUAUUACCAUAACAUGCGAUGUAUACGGAAGCACGUUUUCCAACUGAGCCUGCGCAAUUGAAUGCCCACCUCUCCCUUUUGAAUAUUCAUUCCCCAUCUGAAAUAAAAGGCCCCUGCUGCCCGGUGUUCUGUGGAGGCGGGUGGGGGGGGGCAGCUGUGCGUUUGGAGAAGAUUCCACGUGGUCUCCUAUUUGCCGCAAAUAAAUUUUACUUUGUGUGACAA
rnacentral:lncRNA from 1 species